rnacentral:snRNA from 1 species
GUGCUUGCUUUGGCAGCACGUAUACUAAAAUUGGAACACUACAGAGAAGAUUAGCAUGGUCUCUGGUCAAGGAUGGCAUGCAAAUUUGUGAAGCAUUCCAUAUUUUG